rnacentral:rRNA from 1 species
CUAAUACAUGCAAGUCGAGCGCGGGGAGCAGGCAGACCUCCUUCGGGAGUGAUGUUUGUGGAAUGAGCGGCGGACGGGUGAGUAACACGUGGGCAACCUGCCUGUAAGACCGGGAUAACUCGCGGAAACGUGAGCUAAUACCGGAUAAAGCUCCAUGCCGCAUGGCAUGGGGAUGAAAGACGGCUUAGCUGUCGCUUGCAGAUGGGCCCGCGGCGCAUUAGCUAGUUGGUGGGGUGAUGGCCUACCAAGGCGACGAUGCGUAGCCGACCUGAGAGGGUGACCGGCCACACUGGGACUGAGACACGGCCCAGACUCCUACGGGAGGCAGCAGUAGGGAAUCUUCCGCAAUGGACGCAAGUCUGACGGAGCAACGCCGCGUGAGCGAUGAAGGUCUUCGGAUCGUAAAGCUCUGUUGUCAGGGAAGAACACGUGUGAGAGUAACUGCUCACACCUUGACGGUACCUGACCAGAAAGCCACGGCUAACUACGUGCCAGCAGCCGCGGUAAUACGUAGGUGGCAAGCGUUGUCCGGAAUUAUUGGGCGUAAAGCGCGCGUAGGCGGCCCUUUAAGUCUCGUGUUUAAACCCGGAGCUCAACUUCGGGUCGCACGGGAAACUGGGGGGCUUGAGUGCAGGAGAGGGAAGCGGAAUUCCACGUGUAGCGGUGAAAUGCGUAGAGAUGUGGAGGAACACCAGUGGCGAAGGCGG